GAUGAACGCUGGCGGCGUGCCUAAUACAUGCAAGUCGAACGGACAGACGAUGAGCUUGUGCCUUUCACGUUAGCGGCGGACGGGUGAGUAACACGUGUAUAACCUACUUAUAAUUCUGGUAAAAUUACGGAAAACCGGAUCUAAUACCGUAUAAUAUAUUGAACCGCAUGGUUCAAUAGAGAAUUUCGGCUUUUCUGUCUGUUAUAGCUGCUUCCGCGCUGGAUUAGCUAGUUGGUAAGGUAACGGCUUACCAAGGCUACGAUGCGUAGCCGAACUGAGAGGGUGAUAGGCCACACGGGAACUGAGACACGGUCAAGACUCCUACGGGAGGGAGCAGUAGGGAAUGUUCGGCAAUAGGCGAGAGCAUGACGGAGCAACGCCGCGUGAGUGAUGAAGGUCUUCGGAUCGUAAAGCCCUGUUAUUAGGGAAGAACAGAUGUGGAAUUAAAUGUGGCCGUAUUGACGGUACCGAAUAAAAAAGCCACGGCUAACUACGUG
rnacentral:rRNA from 1 species